rnacentral:lncRNA from 7 species
GGAGUGCCUCCUGGAACAACAGUAGCAGUGCUGUUGACAGUCAUACUAAUCAUAAUAAUUGGAGUGUUAGCGGUUGGAGGCUUCUUUAACUACAGACGGACAGGCUCCAUUUUACCAGCGCUUCCCAAACUACCAAGCUUAAGCAGUCUUGUAAAAUCAGCUGAAAAUGGCAAUGGGGUAACUUUCCGAUCUGGUGCAGAUGUAAGCAUGGACAUAGGAGGUUCUGUUUUUGAAGGAGACUCUGCUAUAGACAGAGCAAUGCAAAUGAAUGAAAACUUUGCAGUAGAGUCAGGGAAACAGCCAAUCACAUUUGAAAAUCCAAUGUAUGCAACCAGAGAUAGUGGAGCUGGUGGAACCAGUGAAGUUACAGUCAUUCAACCAACACAGGUAACAGGAGCUGGUAGUGUGGAAAAUGAAAAUUUUGAAAAUCCUGUGUAUGCCUCUGAAGUAUCUCCUGGGCCAAAAGAACCUCCUCCACGUACAGACACACCUCAGGAGUCAAAGUGGAGUUUCUUCAAGAGAAAAAUGAAACAAAACACUAAUUUUGAAAACCCAAUAUAUGCGGAGUUAACAAUUUCAGGAGGGCCUAAGUGCCAUAAGAACCUCAGUCCCACUGUCAUGUGACUGAAACUUAGCUGCCUUUGUGGAGAAUUUAGAUUUCUAAUGCCUGAAUGAGAUGGAAAAGGAACAGCAACAGGACACAGAAAAUGUCCCUCCUUCCUCUCCUUCACUGCCUCCCAAGAUUACUCUAAAGAGAGACCAGCCAUUAGCUUAUACAGCGACAGAGGAUACAUUCAAAGACACCGCCAAUCUUGUUAAAGAGGACUCUGUUGUAUAAGUAGGUAACUGAUUUAGGGAAAAUGAGACACAUCCAUUUGCACAUAUAUUUUUUAUAAACAGAAGAGUAAGGUUCACAUUCAAAUGCUUUAUGAAAAUAUAUACAUCUUUUAGUCGGUGGCUGGAGAUGUAUGUUGAAACUAUGCCUUGUUUUUUGACAAAUGCCAAUUACUAUUUUUAUGAACAAGUAUCACGGUGUACUAUAUGUAUAUCUUUGCACUGAACCUGUCUGAAAGUAAUGUUAUAAAUAUAUUGUAAAUUUGUAAAUUUUUCAAAGAUUAUCUUGGGUUUUUUUGCUAGUAGAAAUCUGUAUGGAAUUGGUUGCAUAAAGAUAGGGGUAAAUUCAUUAUAGAGGGGUUUAAACUAAAAAUACAAACAAGGUGAGUAUAGGAGUGUUACUGAUUUACAGGAUCUUUUGCAUAAAUAUUUAUAACAGUACCUUUUAAAACUUCUACUGGUGCUCUGGGCAUCCUUACCACCUAUUUUUAUCUUCUGCUGGAUGUAGAAAUGAGUGUCUCUGUUUAUCUUGUGUUAAACAAAAAAUGGAAAAGUCAAUGCAGCAUCAUUAUGCUGAAUAGCUAUCUGUGCAGAAUGUUGUUCCCAUAAUGUUUUAACUACCUGGGAUAAAACAAUCCAUUAAACAUGCUUUUCCACUAGGAUCCAAUUUAAACCACUCAAUUAAUAGUGUUCUUUAAAAGAUUUGAUAUAUUUAGAUUUUAGUGUCAUGAGUACUGAAUUUAAUGAGGUUAUCUCCUGUACAUCAGUGAAAUAGCUCUGUUCUUAGCUGGAGUCUCUGGAAGUUAUUUGUACUAUUAAAUGAAGUAGCUAGAUUUCUGUAACAGCUUAUUUCCGAACAGCAAAAUACAAAAACUACUGCUUCAUUUAAGAAAUGAUUCAGGUUUUUUAAUGUGAAAAUUUAAUUUUAUUGACUAUUUAUUUCCAGAGGUGGACAUGAAUAGAAAGGGAAACAAUUUCUACUAAUGCAGUCUUUGUAGUUAAUCUGCUUAUUUUCAUAACCUUCUAUCAGCAUAUACUGUAUGUCUUACCAGUUUUUCUAUUAAUUAGCCAAGGUAGUUUCCACAGUGUGAACCAUUUGAGGAAACUUUUGAUUACCACUACAGGAACAUGUAGCAUUUCUAACUAGUUACAUAAUUUAAAGAUUCCUAAAUUAAAAUCAUUGAGAUUUCUACUAUUUGAUUGUUUUAUGUCUAAGUUCUCAAAACAUAUACUAUUUCUAAUUAGAAUGCUUCUAAUUAUUUUGUAAUGUACUUUGAUUAGAAAAGACUACUGGAAAAUGAUGCUGCUGAAUAAAUUUAAUAAAUGUAUUAUUU